AUUGAACGCUGGCGGCAGGCCUAACACAUGCAAGUCGAACGAGUGGCGGACGGGCGAGUAAUGUCUGGGAAUCUGCCUGAUGGAGGGGGAUAACUACUGGAAACGGUAGCUAAUACCGCACACCAUAGGAUGUGCCCAGAUGGGAUUAGGUAGUAGGUGGGGCAAAGGCUCACCUAGGCGAAGUUCCCUAGCUGGUCUGAGAGGAUGACCAGCCACACUGGAACGGAGACACGUUCCAGACUCCUACGGGAGGCAGCAGUGGGGAAUAUUGCACAAGGGGCGAAAGCCUGAUACAGCCAUGCCGCGUGUAUGAAGAAGGCCUUCGGAUUGUAAAGUACUUUCAGCGGGGAGGCGUUACCCGCAGAAGAAGCACCGGCUAACUCCGUGCCAGCAGCCGCGGUAAUAC
rnacentral:rRNA from 1 species